CGCCGCCACCAGACCCGAAGCCGAAGCAGGCGCUAAGGGGCGGCCUGGGAAGCAACCCCGAUGGACCGAGGCACAGUAGGCCGCGCGGACGAACGACGGCGCGCGGCGGGCCUCUCCACCUGCUGCCCGGACGCGGCCCGGGCCCCGUCCCGCGGAGGUGUUCGCGCCAGGCUCGCUCCGGCGCCUCAGGUGGACGGGGUUCCCGCCCGAACGCCGCCCGGCCGCCCGCAUGCAGGCCCGAGACCUGAGCCCCCGCCUCUGGCUGCCAGCCCGCGCUCCGCGUUCACCGCGCUCGGCCGGGGCCCGCCUCUCGGCAUUUUCGCUUUCGCUUUCCUGCCGCUGUUGUUGAGGAAAAUGAAAGUGACCGUGGCCGUGGCCCGGGCCGGCGCAGCUGCCGUCGGGGCGAGGGACGCACAAAACGGCGGCGGUCGGCGAGGAGCCUGGGAGCUGGAGCCCCUACCCGCGCCAGACUAGAUGGCAGCACGCCCUGGACUUGUCUGCACCGCAAGUGGCCCUGAGGAGGGACAGCAGGGAGACAAGAAAAUGGACUCCCCUCUGCAACCUGCAAUGUGCCAGGGUUUGAAGCCUAUUGGAGGAAAACAUCAAGGUAAGAGAACAAUAAGACUGUGUCUCUUUUGGGACUUCCCAACGUAAAGGGUCUUGGAAGAUAUUCAAGGAAGACUAGAGUAUUGAAAGUGUUGGCAGCUGGGUAACACAGGGGACUCGUGUUGACUUCCUGGGUAGAGUGUGGGCACUGGGGACAGUGAGUCCAGCUCAGUGUUGAGCUGUGAAUCAUCAGAGGUGGCUGCAAGGUCUUUAGAUCCAAGAAGACCUCCCCCAAACCAGUCAUUUGUGCCCACAGCCUGGCUCUCCUGCUCUGCUUUCCUUACCUCCCUCCAGGCCUCUGUCCUUCAUCCCUCGCUCUUCUGCCAAACCUACUGAAGUCGGGGUGUCCUGGGUUUUUGUUUUUGUUUUUUUCAGCAAGGAUGGUUUAGGUCUAGAUCCAGAGAAAUAUAGGAUGCUUCCUGCGUAGGAGUUAUCUGAUUCUGUGUUAAAUGUGGUCUAAAUUUCAAAGAGUGAAAACACUCAGUAAAUAAUGGAUGGUAGGGAAAUGUGUACCAAUGUGUGUGUACUGCUGACUUGAUUCAAAAAGGGGCUUUUUAAAACCAGUGUUAAAAAUGUGUCCAGGCUUUGACCAGGCAAUUCUACUUUUUGGAAUUUAUCCUAGGAAAAUAAUCACAGUUGUGCAAAGGUAUAUGUGCAAAGGUUAUAUAUUUAUAACCACAUUGUUUUAUAAUAGAAAAAAAAAAGAGAAAGAAACAUUGGAAAGCCCAAGAAAAAGGAAUUGGUCCUUUAAAACCUGGCACAUCCACACAAGGGCACAUCAUGCAGCAGAAUGACCUAGGUGUAUACUUACUGGCAAGAAAGACAUUUGCAUAUAUUGCUAAGUAAAGGGAAAAAAAAGGAAAAAGAAAAAAUGAAUAAAGCUUACAAAACAUGCAAGGCAAGUGGCUUGGGACUCAGGCUGGAGGGUUGAAAUCCAGAUCAGUCUCUUAACCCGUGUGGGAACUCAGGCAAGUGAUGUGAUCUCCCUGAGCCUCUACUAUCUGCCAGUAAAAUGGGCAUAAUAACAUGGUUGCAAGAACUGGGUGGGAUUAACACAUCUAAAGGCCUCAGCACAGGGUCUGGCCUGGGUUGAGGGCUCAGCAGCUGGGUACCCAGAUGAGAUGUGAACCAGUAAUAUUUCUGCCAGUGUAUAAGCCUGGAAACAUUCUGGAAAUUCAUAGACAAGUAAUGGUUUUAUUUGGCUGGUAGAAUUGUGGGUGAUUUUUAAUAUUUUCUUAUUUUUCUACAAGGAAUACUUGUUACUUAUUUAACAAUGAGGUAAUUUUUAAAAGAAGUAACAAUGGGAAAGAUUAAAAGAAAAAAAAAAAAACCCUGCCUUGCUUUGGGCAGGCAAGCCAGCUGAGCAGCCCCUGGGGCAAAGCCCUGAAGGAAUGAAGGAGAGGCAGGAAGGAGAGGGAAGGGGGAGGGAGGUGGGUGAAGGAAAGAACAAAAAGGACCCUUAGACCUGAUGGCUGGUGCCCAAGGAGAUGUACCUCAGAGUUAAGAUUCAAACCCUACAGGCAUGUUCCCCACUUUGACAGCUCCUGGGAGGUCCUGGUAGGAGAUACGGUGACUCAAGUCCCAUCUGCCCCAUGAGAUGAUGAGGAGUGUGUGCAGCCACCUCUGGCAGCUGAGCACAUGACAGGAGGGGCCCUGGGCCUUCAGAAACCCAGCAUAUUGUCCACAUCCAGAGUAGGAGAGACAGGAAAUCCUAGUGAAUUCCUAAAUUCCUAAAAGGAUGACUAGCUCCCCUUUCCUUUGGCAGCCUGGCAGGAUCCACGCUCAAGAGCAGGAUUUCCCAAGCAAAUACAGCCUGCUGGGAAAGGGAGCCAGUGACUGGUGACCCCCAAAGAUUUACUUGCCAGCUCCUAUCCCCACCCCCACCCACAUCAAUGAGGUGCCAAUUUAUUCAGCAUUUCUUGGGGCAGGGAUCAUCCACCUAAGUGAAUUCUCCAAGUAAUCAAACUCAGUCCCAUCACGUUGCAAUGUUUAAUUAAUUUGUUUUAUCAAAAUCAUGCAUGCAUAUGGUUUAUAUAUCAACAGUACAGGAAGCUUGUAAUAAGGAUUGCCUCCUUAACUUUCUUGGUGCUUCUCUCUCUCUAGAGAAGCCUCUUUCUACUCUUCAUUAGUUCCUAUUUCUGUUCAUACUGUUAUUUCUUGAUUUGCCAAUUUUAGACAUCUGUUGACUUCUUGUGGGAGACAAAAAUUAAGCUUUCCUACAAAGCUGCUUCCAGUUCUCCUCCCUCCAUCUCCCAGUAAGAAGAUAACAUGAUUUUUGGUUGACUCAGUAGUGACUGCAGACACAUUAUUUGCUGCUGAACUAAGUGUUGUGUUACGUGUCCUUGAGGUCUCGGGGGAAAAUAUCUUAUAUCUUUGAUAAUUUUCUCCCCUUUAUUUUACCUGUUGGUAAACUGCUAACUGCUGUUACCAGUUGGUAAACAGGUAAACUGGUAAAUUGGUAACUGGGUUACUCUUCUGAUAUUCUUAUAUUUUUUAUUUCCCUUCCCUUUGCCUUUUGGGUCUACUUUCUUGGGAAACUUUACUUGACUUUAUCCUCCAACCAUUCUGCUGAUUUUGUCUUAAUUGUGGCCUUCAUAUUUUUAAUAUACAAAUAUUCAUGUUUUCUGUGCCUUUUUUCAUAAUAUCACAUUCUUGUUCUAUAGAUAUGCUAUUGCCCUCUUAUCUCUCUGAAGGAGUUAUUUCUUUUUCUUUUGUUUAUUUGUUUUGUUUUAAUAUUCUUCUUUUCUCUUUGUUGCCUUUAUAUCCACCUAGCUACUUUUUGUUUGUUUUCUCUCUUUCAUGUUGGAGGCUUUCCUCAAAUGUCACAUGUCGUGGCUGCCUGUUAAUAUUUAUGAACGAUGCAAUAAAAAGUAUGAAUCAAACUGUGUGUUUGGGAACAACCUAUCAGCUGGGGCUUUGCUAUAGGUAGCAAGCCAGCCUUUUCGUUAACAAGCCUCAAAAUGCCACACUCUUCUCUGAAGGUUUCUCGAUCUUGGUGCUGUUGAUAUUUUAGGACAAACAAUUCCUUAUUGUCAGGGGCUCUUGGGCACUGUCGAGUGUUUAACAGUAUCCCUGAACUCUACGUCCAGAUGCCAGUAGCAGCCUGCCUUCAUGGAGUUGUGAUAACCAAAAAUGUCUAUCAACAUUGCCAGAUGUCACCUGGGGCCCAGAUCACCCCUUUGAGAACCACUACUUGAGCCAUUCUGCUUUUCAAGAGAAGCUCUCUGACUCCUUGUUCCCGUUACUUAUUACUGCAUAACAAAUCACCCCAGAACUUAGUAGCAUCAACAACAGCCGUUUUGUUAUUCUGCAAGUCAGAAAUUCAGAAAAGGCACAGCUCUUCUCUGCUGCACCACGUCUGGGGCCCUGGUUAGGAUGACUGAAAUGACUGGAGGCUUGCGUAGCUGGGAUUUAGAACAGCUGGGGCUGAAAGAUCCACUUUCAAGAUGGUUCUCCACUUGGCAGGGAUAGCGGGAAGCCUGGACUCAGCUGGGACUGGUGACUGGGGAGACUGCACAUGGCCUCUCUAGCAUCCAGCCUGGGAGUUGGGCCUCUUAUGUGGUAGCUCAGGGCUCCAGUGUGAAUGCUCCAGCCAGCAACAUGGGCGCUGCAUGGCUUUCUGCUGCCUGGCCUUGGAAGUCACAUGGCAUCACUUCCACUGUAGUCACAAGACUACAUAGAUUCAGGGAAGGAGACUGACGCCCACUUCUCAGAGGAAGAUGUGUCAGAAAAAUUUGCAGCCAUGUUUGAAAUUCGCCACACUCCAGAAUGGGGUGAUAUAUGCCUGGGGCACAGUGCAGUGUGAAGAGUAGGGACAUUGACUCUCACCCUUCAUUCUCCAGACUUUGCCCUCAUCCCCCAUUUGCAGCCUUGUGUUCAUCUGCCAUCUCUUCUGCCUGAGCCUCUCCUGUUCAGGGUCUUCAGUCACCUGCUAUGUGGGAUGGAGUGUGAGGUGGGAUCUAGGAGGAUAUCCCUGGUUCCUUACCCCACUGCUUCCUAUACCUGACCACCACCAUCAUAAUACUUAAUUUCCCUCAAGUGUGAGUUGCUCCAGGGUUCUGAGGGUGAAGGGGCUUGCCUCCUGGCAACAUCUCCUUCUGUAGUCCCUAGGAGACCAGCUUCCUCCACCUGCUUUCUGCCUUUCUGGAGUGUGCUAAAAUCUUAUCCAUUGAUGUCUCUUUUACCAUUCUCUUUGCACUUGAAGGGUUAUACCUUUCUUUUCUUUUUUAAAUUUAUAUCUAAUUUAUUUUUUAAGUUCUUAUUUAAAUCCCAGUUAACAUACAGUGUAAAAUUAUUUUCAGGUGUACAAUAAUAGCGAUUCAACACUGCCAUACCUCACCUGGUGCUCAUCAUGACAAGUGCACUCCUAAUGCCCAUUGCCUAUUUCACCCAUUCCCCCCACUAUACCAUUUUAUUUCUUGACUGGCAUUUUAGCAGCACUUCAGGAGAGAAAGAAGAUUAGGACAUGUGACUGACCUGACGUGUUAACUGUAAGCCCUGUUGUACUUCUUUUGGAAUGAGAUACAUCUCUACCUUGUGUUAUCAUCUUCCCUGCCCUGAAAGCUCUGUUCAGUAGUGCAGUGACCACAUUCAACCCUUUGCUGGUAAUUCAGACUCAUGUUUAUAAACAUACAUGUGUACCUUGGAAUUAUUAGGCUAUGUAGAGCAAUCUGUCCCUCCAUGAUAGGGACCAGGAUCACUGCAUUUAAAUCCCUUGAACCCUUUUUGUGGUCAUCUCUGUCUCGGGCUGUCUCUUGUCCCAUUUAUUUAUGGUGAGAAUGCCACAUUACAGCACAUUAAGUUCUAAUCAACUGUUUUUCAGUGGCUAAACCUGAUGACAGUGCAUGGGAUCCCUGGCCCCCCCCCCCAUUUUCUACCCUUCCCCACACCUUGCAGGAUUUGACCUUUGUGGAAUUUAUCAACCAGUGCUUCCAGUUGGGUUUGGCCAAUAGAAAGUCCCUGCAGGACCCUGGAGGAUAAUGUUAGGUGCUUUAGGAUACUUUAUCCUAUUCACCUUACUUGCUAGGCCUCAGUCUGCAGGGUCUGUGUGCUUCACCCUUCAGGCACAACCCCUGUGGCAGCCCUCCCCUCCAGGCUUGUCUAGGUUCCUGUAACCACUCUCUUGCCCUCCUCCCUUCAGGUAGGAGGUAACAGCUCCCCCACUGGUGUUGGCUCCAGGGUGCUUCUCUUUCCCUUGUCCUUUGCCUCAGUUCUGCUCACCUUGUCCUUCUUUAAGGUCCCCUCUGUUACCUGUGCAGUAUGUAUCUGUUUCCCACUGGGACUCUGACCAUACAGAAACUUUUUCUGAUUUGCUUCUAAAAUAAGAAUAGUCCCUGAAUGAGCCCUGCAAGAUCCUCUUAGGUGUUCUUCGUAUGAGCUUUGUGACCUCUCUGGACCUACUCAGGAAUUUUAAAAAUACACUUUCUAGGUUUUUGACUGUAAUGCAUGGUAGAGGUUACUGUGUUAGUGACUUCUCCAUAUGGGGAAAUAUUACUUACUGGAGUAUUUUGAGAAGGAAGAUAAGUAUGUAAAUAAAAGGAAACCAGGAGAGAGAUUUUUAUGACUUUUAGAAAUUAUAUGGCUGACUGGAAAAUAUCAACAGUUUCAGAAAAUGAAGAAAUACCUUCCUGAAUAACAGAUUCUUGCUGGAUCUUUAAGGUCAAGUGUAUAUUCAGGGGACAUCCGGGCCAUGUCUGAAUGGGAUUCCCUUAGAUCUGACAUUAGGAGUGCCUUAGGUCACUAAGCCCACUAAGCCUGUGUGCUUCCAGGUCAGUAGCCUCUUUGAUGCUUUUACUGUGAGGGUAUUAUGUGCUUGUUUAUCCCCUGGGAUGAGUAUAGUGAAGCCCAAAGAGGCCCACGGCCUAGGCCCCAGUCAUACCUCAUGCCCAGGGGGAGUGCCCCAGAGCCCAGCCACCCUUCAGCUACCCCUGAGAUCAGCCUGCAAGGCUCUGCUGCUGGAGUGCUCUCUGGAUUCUCUUGCCUCCUCCCUCCCCUGGCCUAGUCAAACCUUAGUUUUGUUUAAUUUCUACAGACCAUUGAAGCAUAGGUAACUCUAGGGAAAAAUUAGAAUCAAGAACUCUUCCUGGCCACCCAUUUCCUGAAACACAGAAAGGAAACAUUUCAUAAACGCUUUGUAAAGUAGACAAAAGGAAGGGGUAGGGGCACUCUGGCUGGCAGGGCUGGCCAUGUGGCCUCUCACAGAUGAGGGAGGUGAGAUGGCACAUGGGGGCUGAGGUCUCAGCCAGGGGCAGCACAGGCACAGCCCCUGGCACCGUGUCUCUCUGGCCACUCCAGCAGAGCCAUUGAUCCUCUGCCCUCCUGGGCCAGGAGAAAACACCUGGGGGCAUCCCCCCCCAUUUCCCAAUGGGGAGACUGAAGCCAGAGAAGUGGAGAGUUACAGCUUCAGUGGAGAGACACUCAUAUCUUUACACCCUGGCUUCCUUAUUCAUGCCUCUUUCAACUUCUAGGGAUUUUUUUUUUUUUUUUUUUUUUUUAAUUUGGGGAGUAGGGACUGGGCAGUUGGAGAUAGAUUUCUUUGUUCCUAACUUGGCUACCUCCAUUGAUGUAGCCUUUAUCAGUUUAACUUGUCCUUUUUCAUCCCACAGCACUCUGUGUCCCUCUGCCAAAUGCAGUCAGCCGAGGCCCCCCAGCGUCCCGCCUGGCUGAGUUGCAAGAGGCCCCAGGCCCCUUCCUGUUCACUCCUGCUCUGUAGACACGAUGCUAUGGGGCAGACAUGCAGGGACAUGGACAGAAGAGGCAGACCAUGGCUGGAUGGUGGAGGGCUGGGGGGUCUGGGGGAAGCUUCUGAGGCCUUUCUGCGCUGUCCUUCUCACAGUAGAAGGUUCAUGGUCCAGGUACUGGGAUGGGGCCCAGGUGUAGUGUUUAAGCCUGUGUCUUGUCUUUUCCUGUCCAAGCUGCCCAUUCUUGACCAGAGUGUGAUGGAGGUGGCCAUUGCUAGGGUGGCUGCCUCUAACCACAAAGAGAGGAAGGAAAAUUCUCAGCCUGGGCACUUGAACCAAGUCCUCAGCAAGAUGUUGCAAGUUCCUAAUCUGGACCCCAAGGCCAGGGAGUUUAGGCAUCGUCUGGAACCCAGACUGUUACCCACAAACAUAGACAUUCAGGGGACCUACUCCCACCCCCCACGACACCAGAUCCUCAGCAGUGUCUCUGGCCUGGGUAAUAGUCCCUGGGAAGUCCAGCUGCCACCUCUCUAUGAAUGACCCUGUAGCAGCUGUACUGGUAAGCCACUUCUCUGGGGGCAGAGCUGAGGUCCACCUUGAUGUCAUUACACACCAUUACAAACUGAUGCAACCAGCUUUCAACAGACACUGCCAGGGAAGGAACACAUUACAACAGCAUGCCGCAAUACUUCCUCCGCUCGUGCAGGAGGCUUGCUCCCAUCAGCAAAGAUGGACUCUUUGAACCCCAGUAUCUCACUCCACCAGCCUGGACAGUGCCUUUUGUCAGGAGCAUUCCGAACCUUUGAGUGGAUCUCCUUUUCCCAAGAAACUAAACCAGUGGCUUUCAAUCCUGGCUGCACAUUACACUCAUCUAGGAUAUAAAAAAUAUUGAUGCCUGGGCCUCACUCUCACCCCAGAGAUACCAACUAAAGUGAACUGAGUAAAGAAAAAAAAAAUCUAAGUGUGUAUUGAAGGGUAACAUAUACAACAACAACAACACAAAACCUAAGUAUAGAUCUAAGUGAAUUUUCGCAAAGUGAACUUUCCCAGAGUAACAAGCAUCCGGAUCAAGAAGCACAACCUCACCAGCAUCCCCUGGUGCCCCAUGGGGUCGCCACCAUUCUCACUUCUGAUGGUGGAAGUGAGUCUUGCCUGUUUUCAAGCUUUAUAUUAUGUAAAUGGAAUCAUAAAGUACAUGGACUUUUGUGUCUGGAUUCUUCCACUCGACAUUAUGCUUAUGAGAUUCACCCAAGCUGUGUGUUUAUGGUUGCCAUAGUUCGUUUGUUCUCGUUGCUGUACAGUAUUCCACCAUAUGGAUAUUCCCCAAUUCAUCUAUCCAUUUUACUAUCGAUGGAUAUUUGGGUGUUUGGAUUGUUGUUUGGGGUUUGGGGUUAUUAUGACUGCUACUGCUAUGAGCGUUCCUAUGGUGUCUUUUGGAGCACAUUUGUGUGCAUAUUUAGUGGAAGUGCUAAGCAAGUCUGGAUACAAAUGUGUUCAACUUCAGUACCUUAUGCCAAAUAAUUUUCCAGAGUGGCUGUACCCGUUCACACUCCCUCCAGCAAUGUCUGAGAGUUCUGGUUGCUUCACAUCUUUGCCGGCAAUUGGUACUUUAUAUCUCUUUCGUGUUAGCCAUUCUGGUGGGUGUGUAAUGAUAUUGCGGUGUGGUUUUAAUUUGCAUUUUCCUGAUGACUAAUACAGUUGAGCACUUUUUCAUAUGUUUAUUAGACACUUACAUCCCCUCUUUGCAAAGUGCCUGUUGAAGUAUUUGGACAUGAACAUUUGUAAGAAGCUCCUCAGGUGGUUCCUAUGUGCAGCCAAGGUUGAAAACCAUUGAACUAAACCACAAGUUGGUAUCUGCUGUUCUGUUUCUCGAUGUCCUGCCUUUGAACUUAAGAGUAUUUUGGAUCUGAGGGGACCUCAUGGACAUGGGUAAAGAUAACCUUCACCCCCUAUACCAAGAUGGGCCUACCAGGAAGAAGCAAGAGAUUGGAGCUGGAGUUUAGGCAGUUGCAAAUCUUUGGGAAUAUAGCCUCCACUUCAGAAGAGCCCAGAGACAGCCGGUGGUGUCCACAGCUGCCACAGACAUUUCCUGACCACAAAAAUGAUCCCUUGCUGAUACCCCCAGAGCCCCAGGCAAUCAUGUGGAGGAAGUGGAGGGGCCACAUGCCAGGUACUUCCCAGUUUCUGGGCCAGUAUGAACAGGACACAGCUCAUGUGGGGGUUGUGGUCAAGCUGGAGACAGUGGAGCAUGUGUUCUGGGGGCCUGGGUGGGGCUGAGGGAGGCCUUCCAUCUGUGGCCUUUCUCCUGGGUGAAAGGGCAGCUAGCUAGUGAGGCCCUCCCACAUGGGUCCAAGCCUGGCCAGGUCUUGAAUUCUGUGCGCUUACAUCUAGGUCCCGGUUGUUGCUUCUCUCAUCUGUAAUGAUCUCGUCUGUCCUCUGUUGCCCACCUUGCGGCCCUGCUCCAGGACCUUCCCUGGCCACCCCACCCCUAUGGACCCCUCACUCUUCUGAGCUUCAGCUGCACUUAGAGUGAGACCAUACAGUGUGGCUCCUAAUUACAUACUGCCUUGUAUUGGGUCCCUGUUGCGUCAUCUGUGUUCAUUUUAUCCUCCCCUCUGGACUGCAGUUUCAUCCCAAGGACUGCUGGGCACUUCUCUCUGGCUCCCAACAGUGGGUAGAGUGGCAUUUGGUAACUCAGUGACAACAACCUCCAACUUGAAAAGGACGAUGCAGUAAAGAUGCAGACCACACACAGAGUCAGCAUUUUCCUUCCCUCAGACUGGGGUUGUGCAGGUGGCAAGCAGAGCUGCCCUGUGUGGGCUCUGUGUUGGCACAUGUGCCCCAUUUCUGGUAGGCGAGGAGCUCUGUGCAGUGAGUCUGGAGUUGGAGCACCAGCAGGGGACUGGGCUGCUGGUGCCUGCCUGGGUGUGCAUAAAGGCCCCUCAGGCAGAGGGGUUCUGAACACCCAGAUGGAAUUCACCAUGGUGUCUGGAGCUUGGGAAACAGGGGGCAGGGGACAGUCUCGUCAGUACCCGUCUGUGUGCUCUUUGAAAAGAGCAUGGUCCACCUUCUGUUGACUGAAGUCCUGCCAGCUAUGUGACAUGAAAAGAGGGACAAGGAAGCAUGUGGGCAAAGUUGACAUUUUGGAGGCUGGUGAGCACAGAACCAACUCUGGGCUCUUGGUUGUGGCAUGUUCCAUGGAUUCAGGCCCAUCUUGGAAAUUGCUCUGGUCAUAGAGCCUUUCAUGUCUGAUAGUCCAAGUACAGAUGCCGGUGUUCCCUUGGAAUAUGGAAUAAAUGGUGGUCUGCACUAACCAGCCACCAGAGUUCUAUCUGAAACCUGGAAUAGUACCAGGAAGAACUCUCUCUGGCAGCGUGUGAGAGUUCCAAUUGCUUCACAUCCUUGCCAACAACUGGCUUGUUCUGUCUUUGGCCAUCUGAGUCUCAUAAAAAGAGAGACUCCUCUCCUUCCACUGAGUAUGCCUCCCAGCCUCUCCCCUUUCACCAGAGCCCCUCCCAGCAAUUAUGCCCUUUAGUUCUCUCAAGUCUGGGUCUUCAAACUCUCCUACACUGGCUGCCUUCGUGCAGUAUUUGAUAUGCUUCCGCCAGCAUUAUCUGUGUAAUGCUUCCCUCCACCCCUUUCCCCACGGAGUACAGCCAUGCUGUCUGCCUCUCACAGCCGAGAUCUCGAAUGAGACUUCUCCUCUCUCCUCCCCCUUCCCAACACUUAUUCAGCAAGUAUUCAUUUUACACCUGCCUGUGCUGGGCACACACAGUAGGGUUCAACAGGGAAUAAGCCUACUUGGCCUUAUUCUCAUGAAGCUUACAGCUGAGGAGGGAAAACAGACAUAAAUUAUUAACAAGUGUUUGUGUAAUGGCCGUUGUGAUAAGUGCUGCCAUAGCCUGACAGCACUAGCCAGGUCCUUUCUGCACUUGAGCACCUGCAAAUGUCUCCUUGUCCUUUGAGGCACAGCUCACAUGUAACCCCAUCAAUGCCACCUUCCCAACCCUUCAUCACACAGCAGCAUGGCCCUUUCAGCCCAGAACAGCCUUGGUUAUAACUGUUCUGCACAGAGGCUGAAAUCCAAGGAUGGAAACCUGAUUGCCUCAGAGCCCCCUGCCCGGCACACAGCCCAGAGCAUGGAAGGUGCUCAGUAGAUGAAUGCAAGUCCUUGCUAAGACUGGGCCAAAGUGUGUGAACAUCUCCAUGGACUGAGAAUCAUUGCUUGCUUGCCUUUUUUUUUUUAAUAGACUUUUGUGGGGUGACUGGGUAGCUGAGUCAAUUGAGCAUCUGACUUCAGCUCAGGUCAUAAUCUCACAGUUUGUGGGUUCUAGCCCCAUGUCAGGCUCUGUGCUGACAGUUCAGAGCCUGGAGCCUGCUUCAGAUUUUAUGUCUCCCUCUCUCUCUCUACCCUCCCCCACUUGUGUACUUGCUCCCUCUCUCUCUCUUUAUCUCUCUCAAAAAUAAAUAAAUAAGCAUUUAAAAAAUAAAAAAAAUUAAAAUA